AAAAAGACUCUAUCUCAGAUUCACCUUUUCUUAAAGGAUUCAUGCCCCUUUUGCCAAGUAAAAGAGCUGAGAUCUUAAAUACUGUUGUAUGCAAAAUAAUUUUUUUGUAUCUUCAUAAACCAGUUCUCUAAAGGUCAUGGGAAGACACUACAUACCACGAAAAAGGCAUGGACAAGAGCUUUGAGGUGAAAGAAGAGGAAGUAAAGGAAAUACUGGAAGCAGCCCACAGCUACAGGUCCUCCAGGCUUUCAGAACUGGCCCUACUGAUGAAAAACAGCAACUAUCAUCAAUCAUGCUGAUUCAAAGUCAAGUACAGUGAAGUAGGAGCAUUCCCAAAAAUCUUAUGGCUACUGCAUCAAAAGCUACAAUAAGCAUGUGUAUGGACAUGUGCAAUUCAUCAUUUAAAAUAGCUGGGGUACCUCUGGUAUAGGUGGCUAAAUAAAACAAGCAUCUUCUAUAUAUAAAC